rnacentral:ncRNA from 1 species
CGGGGGAGAGUCCCCGACAUGCUCGGGGCGCCGAAGGGGCAAAUCUCCCCGGAACCUCUCAGGCGCCAGGACCUCGC